rnacentral:tRNA from 2 species
GGCUCCGUCGUCUAGUGGCCUAGGACUCUGGCUUCUCAAGCCAGCUACGAGGGUUCGAAUCCCUUCGGAGCUACCA